AGAGUUUGAUCCUGGCUCAGAUUGAACGCUGGCGGCAUGCCUUACACAUGCAAGUCGAACGGCAGCACGGGGGCAACCCUGGUGGCGAGUGGCGAACGGGUGAGUAAUGCAUCGGAACGUGCCCAGUUGUGGGGGAUAACCCGGCGAAAGCCGGGCUAAUACCGCAUACGACCUACGGGUGAAAGCGGGGGACCGUAAGGCCUCGCGCUACUGGAGCGGCCGAUGUCUGAUUAGCUAGUUGGCGGGGUAAGAGCCCACCAAGGCUACGAUCAGUAGCUGGUCUGAGAGGACGACCAGCCACACUGGGACUGAGACACGGCCCAGACUCCUACGGGAGGCAGCAGUGGGGAAUUUUGGACAAUGGGCGCAAGCCUGAUCCAGCCAUGCCGCGUGCGGGAAGAAGGCCUUCGGGUUGUAAACCGCUUUUGGCAGGAACGAAACGGCGCGAGCGAAUACCUCGCGUUAAUGACGGUACCUGCAGAAUAAGCACCGGCUAACUACGUGCCAGCAGCCGCGGUA
rnacentral:rRNA from 1 species